rnacentral:rRNA from 1 species
UACGUAGGGUGCAAGCGUUGUCCGGAAUUAUUGGGCGUAAAGGGCUCGUAGGCGGUCCGUCACGUCGGGAGUGAAAACUUGGGGCUUAACCCCAAGCCUGCUUCCGAUACGGGCGGACUAGAGGUAGGCAGGGGAGAACGGAAUUCCUGGUGUAGCGGUGAAAUGCGCAGAUAUCAGGAGGAACACCUGUGGCGAAAGCGGCUCACUGGACCACAACUGACGCUGAUGCACGAAAGCUAGGGGAGCAAACAGG